UGGGGAAUAUUGCACAAUGGGCGAAAGCCUGAUGCAGCGACGCCGCGUGAGGGAUGACGGCCUUCGGGUUGUAAACCUCUUUCAGCAGGGACGAAGCGAGAGUGACGGUACCUGCAGAAGAAGCGCCGGCCAACUACGUGCCAGCAGCCGCGGUAAGACGUAGGGCGCGAGCGUUGUCCGGAUUUAUUGGGCGUAAAGAGCUCGUAGGCGGCUUGUCGCGUCGACUGUGAAAACCUGCGGCUCAACCGUGUGGUCUGCAGUCGAUACGGGCAGGCUAGAGUUCGGUAGGGGAGACUGGAAUUCCUGGUGUAGCGGUGAAAUGCGCAGAUAUCAGGAGGAACACCGGUGGCGAAGGCGGGUCUCUGGGCCGAUACUGACGCUGAGGAGCGAAAGCGUGGGGAGCGAACAGGAUUAGAUACCCUGGUAGUCCACGCUGUAAACGUUGGGCGCUAGGUGUGGGGGGCCUCUCCGGUUCUCUGUGCCGCAGCUAACGCAUUAAGCGCCCCGCCUGGGGAGUACGGCCGCAAGGCUAA
rnacentral:rRNA from 1 species